rnacentral:rRNA from 1 species
GACGAACGCUGGCGGCGUGCUUAACACAUGCAAGUCGAACGGAAAGGCCCUGCUUUUGUGGGGUGCUCGAGUGGCGAACGGGUGAGUAACACGUGAGUAACCUGCCCUUGACUUUGGGAUAACUUCAGGAAACUGGGGCUAAUACCGGAUAGGAGCUCCUGCUGCAUGGUGGGGGUUGGAAAGUUUCGGCGGUUGGGGAUGGACUCGCGGCUUUUCAGCUUGUUGGUGGGGUAGUGGCUUACCAAGGCUUUGACGGGUAGCCGGCCUGAGAGGGUGACCGGCCACAUUGGGACUGAGAUACGGCCCAGACUCCUACGGGAGGCAGCAGUGGGGAAUAUUGCACAAUGGGCGGAAGCCGGAUGCAGCAACGCCGCGUGCGGGAUGACGGCCUUCGGGUUGUAAACCGCUUUCGCCUGUGACGAAGCGUGAGUGACGGUAAUGGGUAAAGAAGCACCGGCUAACUACGUG